CAGCAUGUUUCCAAAGGCUAUGGCUAGUUGUAGCCACGGGAUCUCCAACUGCAUGGGAGUGCAACCUGGAGAGCCUUUGGCAGUGUAGGCCAGCCUGUGCCUGCACCUGCCACUGAGCUUUCCGAUAGUG